rnacentral:snRNA from 1 species
GUGCUCACUUUGGCAGCACAUAUACUAAAAUUGGAACGAUACAGAGAUUAGCAUGGCCCCUGUGCAAGGAUGACAUGCAAAUUCGUGAAGCAUUCCUUAUUUUU